AGUCCGAGGGAGGGCGCGGGGGCGGCGGGGCGGGGCGGGCAUGGGAGCCCCUGGGACCGGCCGCUGAGCGAGCGCGCCGGCGUGCGGCGGGAAGGCCAGCCUCGCGGUUCCUCCGGGAGCCCAACUCCGUUCCCGCGCCGCCACGAUGAUCCCCCCGAGCGGCGCCCGCGAGGACGGCGUGGACGGGCUGCCCAAGGAGGCGCCGAGCGCCGAGCAGCCGCCCUCUCCGGCAUCCACCGGCAGCCAGGAAUCCAAGCUCCAGAAACUAAAACGAUCACUUUCUUUCAAGACCAAGAGUUUACGGAGCAAAAGCGCCGACAACUUCUUCCAGCGGACCAACAGCGACGUGAAGCUGCAGGCGGACAUGCUGGCCGAGGUCAGCCCCAGCUCCAGCCCGCUCCCUGCGCCCGCAAGCCUGACGUCCACACCCACCAGGGCCGCCCUGCACCCCGGGGCUGGCGGCAAGGCCCACGCCUUUCAGGAGCACAUCUUCAAGAAGCCCACCUUCUGCGAUGUGUGCAACCACAUGAUCGUGGGAGCAAACGCUAAGCAUGGGCUGCGCUGCAAGGCCUGUAAGAUGAGCCUCCACCACAAGUGCAUGGAUGGCCUAGCACCCCAGCGGUGCAUGGGCAAGCUGCCAAAAGGGUUUCGGCGUUACUACAGCUCCCCUUUGCUCAUUCACGAACAGUUUGGAUGCAUUAAAGAAGUUAUGCCCAUCGCCUGUGGCAAUAAGGUGGACCCUGUCUACGAGACCCUCCGCUUCGGCACCUCCCUGGCCCAGAGAACAAAGAAGGGCAGCUCGGGCAGUGGCUCUGACUCGCCUCACAGAACCUCUACUUCAGAUCUCGUGGAGGUUCCUGAAGAAGCUGACGGGCCAGGAGGCGGGUAUGACUCACGAAAACGCAGCAACAGCGUGUUUACUUAUCCCGAAAAUGGCACUGACGACUUCAGAGACCAAGCAAAGAACUUACACCACCAGGGAUCUCUUUCCAAAGAACCAUUACAGAUGAACACCUAUGUUGCCUUGUACAAAUUUGUACCACAGGAGAAUGAAGAUUUGGAAAUGAGGCCAGGAGACAUGAUUACUCUUCUAGAAGACACCAAUGAAGAUUGGUGGAAAGGAAAAAUUCAAGACAGGAUUGGCUUCUUUCCGGCCAACUUUGUUCAGAGAGUACAACAAAAUGAGAAGAUUUUUAGAUGUGUUAGGACCUUCCUUGGGUGUAAGGAACAGGGGCAGAUGACACUGAAAGAGAAUCAGCAUUUUACUUGAGAUCCCAAACAAAAGCUCAUAGAAGAUUUUGCCUUGCUCAAGGGGGCAAAAACCUGGUAAGUAGCCAGAAUGGAACUUAAGCAUAGAUCUGCAUGUUCUAAGCCCAUACUUUCCGUGGAGUCAUGUGCCCUGGACCAUGUGGACCAACUUCUGAGCAGGACAGCACCAUUUGCAUAGUUUGGCUCCCAAGGAAAGCAAAUGUCAUAAAGGCAGGUGUCCUAGGACCAGAGAGCCCCUUGAAAACAAAUUCUUGCUCAUAUGAGUGCCCUGCUGGGUCAUUCCAGGCAAUGGAAUCAUCCUUGUCAAACUGAGACCCCAUCUCUAAUCCCACACCCCCCCCUCCACAAAGCAAACACCUACUUUCCCGCUGGGUUCCAUGCCAAUGCCUCAAAUUUCUCCAAGCUCACCAAAUUAUAUCCUCCCUGGUCCAAAAGCUUGGAAAGCCUUUUGAAUGAAAUAAAUUUGAGAAGGCUUUUCAUCUUUAUUGGCAAAGUGUUAUUAAAUAAUUUUGCUAGCACGCUUGAUUUUUUUCCUCAGAAUAUUCUUGUGCUUCCCCACUUGAAAGUAAAUGUUGUUUUUGUUUUAUUAAUAUACAAGUCCGUGAAAUCAGAAGGCAAAUGAAAACUUGCUCAAGUUGAUCAAUUCCCAGAAGCAGAACAUCAGCUCAACGACUCCUGCCAACUCCUUGGCCUUCGUCCCCCAAAUUGUGUUUUCUGGGAAUGGGCUCACACCUGCAUUCUGGACUCUUUAUGGUUGAACUGACCAUCUUCCAGGAUGGGUAGGGGUGAGACAAACAAUCCAACCUCUUCAGUUAGACAUGCUGAAGACACAACACAGCCUGAACCAGGAACAAACUGGAUCUGCUCAUAAUCCUUUUAAAAAAAAAUUUAAGUUUAUUUAUUUAUUUAUUUAUUGAGAGAGAGAGAGAGAGAGUGCGUGUGUGUGUGUGUGUGUGUGUGUGUGCAGGGGAGGGGCAGAGAGAGAGAAUGUCACGCAGGCUCUAUGAUGUCAGCGCAGUGCCCGACUUGGGGCUCAAGCUCACAAACCAUGAGAUCAUGACCUGAGCUGAAACCCAGUCAGACGCUUAACCAACUGAGCCACCCAGGUGCCCCUGCCUAUAUCCCUCUUAAAAAGUUCCAUAACUUUGCCCAGCCUGGUGUUUCUGGGAGUGUGGUCUUUGCACCACCUGAAUCCUAAUCACCUGGGAGGUGGUUGAAAAUACAGACUCCUGGACUCCAUUCCAGACCUGGUGAAGCAGAACUGCUCAGGGUAAAGGCAGGGAAUCCCUUUACAAAGGCCCCAGGAUCGAAGCUGAAGUGAGAGCACGACCUUCAUUUCCAUGACCUCACCUUGACGUCCUGCAGUGGUCCUGUGACAACCAAAGGACACCAUGGCUGUGACAAUGCCAAGUGGAAGGCAUGUGGACGUAAUGGAUUCCAGUUCCAGAUGGGUCAGCAAAAGGCACCUAGGGCUCGUUAGCCCCGCACGAUUUUCCGUUUUCGAUCUUUGUCAUCAGCAUGGCAACCAAUUUCGGAAAAAUGUCAGCCACUUGAAAGAAAAUUUACAUUUUAAAAAUCUGUUAUUGAGAAGGAUUUUUUGAAAUUCUGGCUCCACUUUUGUGGCCUCCCAUUAUUUUAGGUGUCAAAUUUCAAAUAGAAGGAAUUCGAUUCUAAAAAUAAUGCAAUGCAUCUCUGAUUACAUCACAUUUCUGCCUCUGGGGUUAAUUUGUCUCAUAAUUCUAUUACUUUUUCGCAGAGCUCUUGUUUCCAAAUAGAAUCAAGUUAUCCUUAUGUUGCGAACACAACUAGAGUUUGCAUUAACACCAAAGUGUGUUUUCUGCAUUUUUGAAAUUUAAAAAAUACCCUCAUGAAAUCAACUUUAAAUACCAUAACAGUAUUGCAUUAAAUUCAUCCAAAGUUCUGCCAUCCCCGUAAAACUACUUUUAUUGAUUCUUUGUGUUUUCGUCAAAGCUUUCAAGACAAAUAGGUAAAUUAUUUUUAGAUUACAAAACUGAAAUGCAUUUAUUGUGGAGAAAAUUUGAAAACUACCCCCAAGAAAGUAUAAAUGCUUUGUUUGGUACCUUCCAUGGCACAUGUGAAUCCUAACUGAAUUGAUCGUUGCCGGCGAUGGUUUUAGUGGUUGGCCAGUCCCCCAGUUCCUGUCAAUGGGAGAAGUCAGAAGGUCAGCUAAGGGCAUCCGCUGGGCUCAGUAGUGCUUGUGUUCCUACACGUUCUUGGCCCCUCCAGCCUCUCUGACUUUUUCCCACAGAUUCCCCACCUCCAAAGUGCCACACUCCCUUGAUACUGAAAUAUGUUCAUCUCCUACUUUUCCCCCCUCGUUUUCACCUUGCCAUCUUUGCUUAAAGGCCUCUUCUUUAGGGAGGUCUUUCUUACCCCCUCGGCCAGAUCAGAUUGCCAUAGAUACUCACAUCAGCACCCCUUUCCCCAUGAGUGAGGAAUUAAUUCAUUCAGCAAUGUGCUCAUCACAUGUGUAAUUACUCAGUGAAAUACCUGUCCCCUAGUUCUGCCCAAUAAGCUCCAGGAGAGCAGGGAUCUGCCCUUUUUUCAUCAGUUUCCAAGUUUCUGGAGUGGUAUCUAUUACAUAGUAGGCACUCAAUAAAAACUUGAAUGAACGAAUGAAUGGAUGAAUGAAUGAAUACAGGAAGUGGGGUAUCUUUCACGUGGCCUGACCAAGAAAACAUUUGCUGGGAUAAUCAACAGCCCCACUUGGUCUCUGGGACUGAUGAAUUUCCUGCGAUGUAGGACUUUCAGUGAAAAGAUUGAGAAAGUCCCUGGCAAACCAAGACAAGUUGGGUACCCUCUUCAUGGCCCUCCGAACCAAAGGAGUUGCUGUGGUUUCCCUCACCUCCUGCCCUUCUCUACCCAUAAUCUUCUGGGCUCAUCUUUCCAUUCUACCUCGAAAUGCAAUGCUUCCAGCCCGGUUACUGCUUCCUAAAAUGGUAGGUAGGUUCUCAAGCGUGGCGAGUUACGUUAUUUGUACCACCAGAAUUUUAAAUUCUAGACCCUUCAUUUCUGGGAAGAGUACAAACCACUGAAGCCUAUUUUCAACCAUUUCGGUUCAUCUUUUUUCAACUUCCUUUAGCUUCCUCCUCUGUUUACCCAUUGUCUGCUCCCAAGACUGUCCAAGGAGGGCAUGGUGGGUACCGAACUCCUCGUCCUUUGGAAGGUCUCCCCAGAUCAAAUCACUGUAGGGGUGCCAAUUAGGAGGUGCAAAGUAAGUCCAUACAUGCAACAAAGCAUGAGCAUUGGUGCUUCUAGGCCUCCCUACUCUUUGAGACCCCCUCAGACCACUCUUCCAUUGCCUCUACCAAACCAUGUUUCACUUCCAUGCUGAAAUCUCAGGAGAGAGAAGGAAAAUUAAAGGUAGUGUGUACAGACACACGGUGGGAUUUUGCUGGAGAGACUGAAAUUGACUGCUAACGUAAAUAGCGGAAAACUCAGAAACAGACCCAGAAAGCUAACAGAGACCCAAACUGCAGUCAUUUUUGGUAUGUUCUCAGGCAUGGGGUAAUGGUGUAAGGCUCUUAGCUCUGGCCAGAAUUUCAGUUUUCUGAUUCCUUUUCCAGGGUUCUCCCUAUUAGACAUCACCAUGAUAGAACAUCUGUGUGUGUGUAUGCCAGUAAAUUGUUUUCAGGUUUGAUUUCUUUAUUUAACUAUUUCAAACUAUAAACUCAAUUUUUAAAAUAAGCAUCUAGAACAAAUCUGCACGAGGAAGCAGAUGUUGAUGCAGAUUGCUUAGACUAAUAGUAAAGGUUGUCGAAUUUGGGACAUAUGUCAAGAAGGAAGAAAACUCGUCUUUGACGGGUUUUAAUGGUAAAUCCUGCCCCCGGGGCAUUUUAAUGGGUUCUUUUAAGACAUAUACUCCCUGCCCAUCCCUAGGGUCUCCUGCCUGCAAUGUUUCUGUCAUGGGCAAUGACAGGCCUUAGUUUUUGGAAAUCAGGUGGUUCACCCUCCUUUCGGGGGUCACCUUACCCCAUCAGACUCUAGUAGGAUCUAACAUGGCCCCUGGGCUAUUCCUUUCUCACAGAUCACCUCUGGCCUUCGUGAAACAGUCAACACAUCUUCUGUUAAAUUAACUCCUGUCUCAGCCUCUUUCCAGUCAAGCUUAUCACACAGCAAGUUUCUGAAACAUGAACCAGAUACCAGCCUGUUGUGUGUCCCAAGCCCCAGGAGUCACAAAUGAAGCUCUUUAAGUGGCCUGUUAAUGCCUGUCCUUCCAUGUGAAGGGGUCUGUAUUGGGGCCCUGCCCACAUCCCCUUCUCUAGGUGGGUGCCCCUAUCCCCCGGUCACUGUGUCGGCUAAUAUCUCACAGCUGCCCUUUGUCCAGCUAAUCCCCCUUCGUGGAACAAGAGCUGCCUGGCCUGAUAAGUUGCAUCUCUCACAGCCCACGUCAGCCAGUGGCCAACGACUGACACACAGGGCCCAGAAGACCAGACCCCCUGCCUCAAGGUGGGACCGCUCUGUGGUGCGCUUCAUGCUCCAGAGCUCCCUGCGGGAUCGGGCUCAGGCCCGCCUCCAGCUGAGACCUCACCUUUGCUCAGCUCCUUCCACUGACCGCCAUGCUUCCCUCGCUUCCCACCUCCCGAGAGCACGCGCUCAACAAGUCCCUUCACGAGGACUCCUGUCUCAGGCUCUGUUUCUGGGGAAUCCAACCUAAGACAUAACCUACCACCCACGGAAGCAGGUCGACUGGGUGAACUCACAGCACACCAAAGGCUCUUUUUCAAAGCCUCUUCUGUACCUCUGACCACACCCACCCUUCAUGCCGUUCGGUGGCCUGGCAGUGAUCUGCGUGACCUCUGAAGAAGAGCAGGACGGCUUUAUCAGAGUCCUCAGUGGAAAGAAGAGGGGCCUCGUCCCCCUGGAUGUCCUAGAAAACAUCUGAUUGCUGGCCCCCCUGCUUUUGCAGUGGAUGGGCUCCGCCGCGAUGCCUCAUCUCACACUGUGUCCACACAGAGGAGCUGUCGCGCUGACCCUCCACCCGGGAAACAGUGAGACAAGACUCACGGAUCUGAGACUGGAGUCCCAGCCACAGGACAGAGGGCCCAUGUCACAGCAUUGCCGGGCUGCCCAAGGUGGGGGCGAGGCUGAGCUGAGCACUUUGCAGGUGGCGGUGGCGGUGGCGGUGGGCAGUAGCCACAACUGUCCCUGAGGAUUCACCUCAGUCCCCAUCCAUGUGAUGUAAGUUAGCCCGCUGGAGUGUGCUCCAGCUUGUGGUAUGGGCCCUGUGCAAGGCUCAGAUCCCUAUAGCCAAGUGUGAUUCUGGUUCCAGACCUGUGUCCCCAGUCCCGGCCCAUCCACGUCACCACGUUUGCAGUCUCUGCAUCAGGAAGUCCUGCUUCCCAGCCCCCAGCAUCCUAGGGCUCCUCUCAGCCCCUCUCACUUUGCAUUUGUACUGUCUCUUCUGUCCUCUGAGUCAGUCGUGGGGUGCCCUUGAGGUGUGAGGGCUGAGCUGGUGGCACCAACCACUGAGAGAGACCUGAUCUGCCCAAAGGUAGCCGACAGGCAGUCCCUGCUGCUGCUUUAGUUACCAACAGAGGUGACAGAGCAGGACACGAGGCCCGACAAAUACAGAGGGCGAAGCGUAGGGUAAGGUGGGGCAAAGAGCCCUACUUAUUGAAGAAUAUACAGCCCUUCGGGUUAUGAAAGCAUUUCCCUGAGGCGAUGGGCCUGAGGAAGAGAAUGGGGCAAAAAAUCUCAGCGAUCAGCCCUGUUUCAUUCCACGUCCCCUGUACUAGGGGCAGCGUUUUCCCUCAGGCCAUCCUAUAGGACCCCCUUUUGGAGGCUGAGCCCAGCUUGUAGAGAACCAGGAACCUGAAGGAGAACCAACCGCAUCUUAGGAGAAAAGGAGCCAACUCUGAAUCCGUUCCUCUUUAGGGCAGUAUAUUAUACCCUAGCCGAUGUAAAGUGGAAAAGAAUCUUUUAGUGCUUCAUCCCUCAGAAAGUAGAGGAACUUGGGGCCUCUUUGCCAUCAAGUGGGGAGUCCCUCUUACUCUGUAUUUGUACUAAUGUUUACAAGCAUUCAAUAUACUGUGAUGCCUUCCUCCGCAAGCCUCCUCCUGGCAUUCGAACUUGCAUCCGAUUACUGAGUCAUUAAUACGGUUAAACUUCAAUUCACAGUGACCUUGGAACCCAUGUCAGCUCGAUUCAUUUUGUUACAGAGCAAUAAAAGCAUUAGUACAACUGGUUUUUAAAAGACUUAAGUGGGUGCAUCUUCUGCAUGUAAGCAUUGUUCCCCAAACCCUAGUAUCAUUAGUCUCCAUUUAUUUCUUUUGUUACUACUCAGCAUGAUGUUGGGAGCUGAGAGAGGAUGGCUGCUGGUUUCACAGUAGUUUGGAUGCCUUACUGUCGUUUUAAAGCCAGCAUCCAGAAUUCCCUCCCUCUCCGGUACAACCUGCAAAACUGAGUGUGCCGAGACAAGAUGGGUUCUCUGAGAGCCAGGGUGGAUAAUAGGACUGCCAUUCCCUAAAACGGAAUGGCAGAGUCCAAACACUUUCUGCCUCUAAUUCUGUAUUCCAUUUAAUAAAGACAACACAGUGC